GACGAACCGUGCGAACGUUGUUCGGAAUCACUGGGCUUAAAGGGCGCGUAGGCGGGCCGCCAAGUCCGCGGUGAAAUCCCCCGGCUCAACCGGGGAACUGCCGCGGAUACUGGAGGUCUCGAGGGAGGUAGGGGCAUGCGGAACUGCGGGUGGAGCGGUGAAAUGCGUUGAUAUCCGCAGGAACUCCGGUGGCGAAGGCGACAUCCUGGACCGGUAUUGACGCUGAGGCGCGAAAGCCAGGGGAGCAAACGGG
rnacentral:rRNA from 1 species